rnacentral:rRNA from 1 species
AACUAACGCUGGCGGCGUGCCUAACACAUGCAAGUCGCACGAGAAAGUCUUCGGAUGAGUACAGUGGCGCAAGGGUGAGUAACACGUGAGCAACCUGCCCCCGGGUUGGGGAUAACCCGCCGAAAGGCGGGCUAAUACCGAAUGGCGGCGCGGGACGAAAGUCUUCGCGCCUAAAGAUGGCCUCUGCAUGCAAGCUAUCGCCUGGGGAUGGGCGCGGGGGACAUUAGCUAGUUGGCGGGGUAACGGCCCACCAAGGCUACGAUGUCUAGCUGGUCUGAGAGGACGACCAGUCACACUGGAACUGAGACACGGUCCAGACUCCUACGGGAGGCAGCAGUGAGGAAUAUUGCGCAAUGGGGGAAACCCUGACGCAGCGACGCCGCGUGGAGGAUGAAGGCCUUCGGGUUGUAAACUCCUGUCGGGCGGGACGAAACUUCAUCGGGCUAAUAUCCCGGUGGAUUGACGGUACCGCCAAAGGAAGCCCCGGCUAACUCUGUGCCAGCCGCCGCUGUAACAC